rnacentral:lncRNA from 1 species
CUCUUUCAGAAAUUCCUCCAGCUGUCCUGAGAACAACAUAGUAAUUUCCUCCAAAGUUCGGCAGCCUCUUUCAGUCUUAACAAGAAAUGUAAUUUCCCCUUUAAAAGGAGAUCAAGUGCAGGCUGCUGAGAAGAGGGUGUGCCCUAGGUGUCAUUCACUUGCCCAGAAUGCGAAGUUGGCCCUUAAAGAAUCCUGAUCUGAGACCCGACCUGAAAGGAGAGGAUAAGACCAGGGAGCCAGGCGUCUUGGGAACACAAGUCUGGCCACCCCUGAGAAGCCAUCUGUGCUCCAAUUUCCGUCUAAGACUUGGCCGCGGUGAGGGGAGCAAAAGAGCCUGAAAUUGGAAGGCUGUCCAAGGAAUAUACAGAGGGAAGCUGUUUGGGGAACUUGAGCUAUUUAGAAGAUGGCAACCAAGCCAACAGAGCCCGUCACGAUCCUCAGCCUUCGGAAAUUGAGCCUGGGGACCGCAGAGCCACAGGUUAAAGGUGAGAUU